GUCGAGCGGCAGCGGGAAAGUAGCUUGCUACUUUUGCCGGCGAGCGGCGGACGGGUGAGUAAUGCCUGGGGAUCUGCCCAGUCGAGGGGGAUAACUACUGGAAACGGUAGCUAAUACCGCAUACGCCCUACGGGGGAAAGCAGGGGACCUUCGGGCCUUGCGCGAUUGGAUGAACCCAGGUGGGAUUAGCUAGUUGGUGAGGUAAUGGCUCACCAAGGCGACGAUCCCUAGCUGGUCUGAGAGGAUGAUCAGCCACACUGGAACUGAGACACGGUCCAGACUCCUACGGGAGGCAGCAGUGGGGAAUAUUGCACAAUGGGGGAAACCCUGAUGCAGCCAUGCCGCGUGUGUGAAGAAGGCCUUCGGGUUGUAAAGCACUUUCAGCGAGGAGGAAAGGUUGGUAGCUAAUAACUGCCAGCUGUGACGUUACUCGCAGAAGAAGCA
rnacentral:rRNA from 1 species